UGGGCGUAAAGCGCAUGCAGGCGGCCUGUUAAGUCAGAUGUGAAAGCCCGGGGCUUAACCUCGGAAUUGCAUUUUGAAACUGGCAGGCUAGAGUCUUGUAGAGGGGGUAGAAUUUCAGGUGUAGCGGUGAAAAUGCGUAGAGAUCUGAAGGAAUACCAGUGGCGAAGGCGGCCCCCCUGGACAAAGACUGACGCUCAGAUGCGAAAGCGUGGGAGCCAAACAGGAUUAGAUACCCUGGUAG
rnacentral:rRNA from 1 species